rnacentral:rRNA from 1 species
UACGGAGGGUGCAAACGUUGCUCGGAAUCAUUGGGCGUAAAGCGCAUGUAGGCGGUCCAGCAAGUCGGAUGUGAAAUCCCUCGGCUCAACCGAGGAACUGCAUCCGAUACUGGCGGGCUUGAAUCCGGGAGAGGGAUGUGGAAUUCCAGGUGUAGCGGUGAAAUGCGUAGAUAUCUGGAGGAACACCGGUGGCGAAGGCGGCAUCCUGGACCGGUAUUGACGCUGAGGCGCGAAAGCUAGGGGAGCAAACGGGG